AUUGAACGCUGGCGGCAUGCCUUACACAUGCAAGUCGAACGGCAGCACGGGAGCAAUCCUGGUGGCGAGUGGCGAACGGGUGAGUAAUAUAUCGGAACGUGCCCGGUCGUGGGGAUAACGUAGCGAAAGCUACGCUAAUACCGCAUACGAUCUACGGAUGAAAGCGGGGGGUCGCAAGACCUCGCGCGAUUGGAGCGGCCGAUAUCAGAUUAGGUAGUUGGUGAGGUAAAGGCUCACCAAGCCGACGAUCUGUAGCUGGUCUGAGAGGACGACCAGCCACACUGGGACUGAGACACGGCCCAGACUCCUACGGGAGGCAGCAGUGGGAAUUUUGGACAAUGGGCGCAAGCCUGAUCCAGCAAUGCCGCGUGCAGGAUGAGGGCCUU
rnacentral:rRNA from 1 species